rnacentral:rRNA from 1 species
GAUGAACGCUGGCGGCGUGCUUAACACAUGCAAGUCGAACGGAAAGGCCGAAGCUUGCUUCGGUACUCGAGUGGCGAACGGGUGAGUAACACGUGGGUGAUCUGCCCUGUACUUCGGGAUAAGCUUGGGAAACUGGGUCUAAUACCGGAUAUGGCGAUCUCUUGGAUGGGGUUGUGGAAAGCUUUUGCGGUAUGGGAUGAGCUCGCGGCCUAUCAGCUUGUUGGUGGGGUAAUGGCCUACCAAGGCGUCGACGGGUAGCCGGCCUGAGAGGGUGUACGGCCACAUUGGGACUGAGAGACGGCCCAGACUCCUACGGGAGGCAGCAAUGGGGAAUAUUGCACAAUGGGCGCAAGCCUGAUGCAGCGACGCCGCGUGGGGGAUGACGGCCUUCGGGUUGUAAACUCCUUUCGCAAUCGACGAAGCCUUUUGGUGACGGUAGGUUGAGAAGAAGCACCGGCUAACUACGUG